rnacentral:ncRNA from 1 species
ACAUACGUGUCAUGAACUGGUGUAUACGAAGGUAUACUUAAAAGGGAAGCUGGUGCAAGUCCGGCACUGUCCCGCAACUGUAAUUUGGAGCCUAUAUUUUAAAGCCACUGUGAAUAACGGGAAGGCAUAGAGGGCGUUGAAGAUAAGUCAGGAGACCUGCCAUGAUUCAAGUACACAC